UACGAAGGGGGCUAGCGUUGCUCGGAAUUACUGGGCGUAAAGGGAGCGUAGGCGGAUAUUUAAGUCGGGGGUGAAAGCCCAGGGCUCAACCCUGGAAUUGCCUUCGAUACUGGAUAUCUAGAGUAUGGGAGAGGUGUGUGGAACUCCGAGUGUAGAGGUGAAAUUCGUAGAUAUUCGGAAGAACACCAGUGGCGAAGGCGACACACUGGCCCAUUACUGACGCUGAGGCUCGAAAGCGUGGGGAGCAAACAGGGA
rnacentral:rRNA from 1 species